ACUAAGAAGGAAAGAGGCAAAUAUUUCUGUAUAUAAAUAGUGGCACUAAGUUAUUGUGAUCAACGAACUGAGCAUCAACAGAGAUAAACAAAAUAUUCCCAACAAUGGCUAGAGCCAACUCUCUGAAAUUCGCUUCCUACUUCAUUCUUUUACUAAUCGCUGCUCAAUUUACGUUAUUUUCUAAAACACACGUAACUGCUGCUGGAUGUUGGGACCUGUGUGUCUACAGUGAUGAAUGCACUGAUGCAAAAUGUUGGGCGUGCGAUCUCAAUGCUGGUCAGGGUGGUGGUUUCUAUGGGCGCUGUAUAGAUCCAUCCAUUUGGAAUGACGAAAAAAAGAACUAAAUAUUCGUACGUUCAAUAUAAUACCGUGCGAAUGUUUUUCCGAAUUUCAAUAAUCCAACAUACAAUAUAUCAUGUUGGUAUGUGCAUGCGUAUUUUCGUUCUUUAUUUGAAUCUGUGUCAAAGUCCAGCGCUAGCUAUAGCUGCUGGUACAUAAGAUUGUUGUGUUAUACUUUGUACGUCUACCUAUGUCAAAAUUAUUAUCAAUAAUAAAUAAAAAAAAUAAGUCCUAUCGUGCUCUA